GACGAACGCUGGCGGCGUGCUUAACACAUGCAAGUCGAACGAAGUGGCGAACGGGUGAGUAAAGCGUAUUCAACCUGCUCUUCGGAGGGGGACAACAGUUGGAAACGACUGCUAAUACCGCAUACUGAAGGAGGGGAUUGCGGCGGAUUAGCUCGUUGGAGGGGUAACGGCGAACCAAGGCGAUGAUCAGUAGCCGGUCUGAGAGGAGGAACGGCCACAUUGGGACUGAGACACGGCCCAGACGCCUACGGGAGGCAGCAGUGGGGAAUCAUCCGCAAUGGACGAAAGUCUGACGAAGCAACGCCGCGUGAGUGAUGACGGCCUUCGGGUUGUAAAGCUCUGUUAAUCGGGACGCGGUACCGGAAUAGAAAGCCACGGCUAACUACGUGCCAGCAGCCGCGGUAAUAC
rnacentral:rRNA from 1 species